ACGAACGCUGGCGGCAGGCCUAACACAUGCAAGUCGAACGGUAACAGGAAGCAGCUUGCUGCUUCGCUGACGAGUGGCGGACGGGUGAGUAAUGUCUGGGAAACUGCCUGAUGGAGGGGGAUAACUACUGGAAACGGUAGCUAAUACCGCAUAACGUCGCAAGACCAAAGAGGGGGACCUUCGGGCCUCUUGCCAUCGGAUGUGCCCAGAUGGGAUUAGCUAGUAGGUGGGGUAACGGCUCACCUAGGCGACGAUCCCUAGCUGGUCUGAGAGGAUGACCA
rnacentral:rRNA from 1 species